UACGUAGGGUGCAAGCGUUAAUCGGAAUUACUGGGCGUAAAGCGCACGCAGGUGGCUAAGUCAGUCGAUUGUGAAAGCCCUGGGCUUAACCUGGGAAUUGCAGUCGAUACUACUUAGCUAGAGUAUGGGAGAGGGCAGUGGAAUUCCCGGUGUAGCGGUGAAAUGCGUAGAUAUCGGGAGGAACAUCAGUGGCGAAGGCGGCUGCCUGGCCCAAUACUGACACUCAGGUGCGACAGCGUGGGGAGCAAACAGG
rnacentral:rRNA from 1 species